UACAGAGGGUGCAAGCGUUAAUCGGAAUUACUGGGCGUAAAGCGCACGUAGGCGGCUUUGUAAGUUAGAGGUGAAAGCCUGGAGCUCAACUCCAGAAUUGCCUUUGAUACUGCAUGGCUUGAAUCCAGGAGAGGUGAGUGGAAUUCCGAGUGUAGAGGUGAAAUUCGUAGAUAUUCGGAAGAACACCAGUGGCGAAGGCGGCUCACUGGACUGGUAUUGACGCUGAGGUGCGAAAGCGUGGGGAGCAACAGGGAUUAAG
rnacentral:rRNA from 1 species